UACAGAGGUCUCAACCGUUGUUCGGAUUCAUUGGGCGUAAAGGGUGCGUAGGCGGUCGCGCAAGUCGGAUGUGAAAUCUCAGGGCUCAACCCUGAAACUGCAUUCGAUACUGCGUGGCUAGAGUGCUGGAGAGGAGACUGGAAUUUACGGUGUAGCAGUGAAAUGCGCAGAUAUCAGGAGGAACACCAGUGGCGAAGGCGGCACUCUGGGCCGGUACUGACGCUGAGGAGCGAAAGCGUGGGGAGCGAACAGG
rnacentral:rRNA from 1 species